AGAUGUUCUUGUUUAUCAUGUGAUGGCGGAUUGUUGGGUGGUUGUCAAAAGUUUUGCUUAAUUUUUCCAUGAAAGUUACCGAUGAAUUCAUCAGUAAAUUCAAGUUUAUUUCUGUGCAACUUGUCUGUAAUGUGAUUUAUUCCGUAUGUGUGUUGGAUCACCUUACAUAUUUCUAUUAUUACGUGUAGCAUGCGUGUAGGAAGGAACGCGAAAGGCAACUGAAACUACAAGUAGCCUACCAUCAAUCCUUUGAUUAAAAUCGCCGUUCUGCUGAAUGCUUUAUCCUGUUGAUGAAGUUUCUAAUGAUGUUGGUAGAUCACUAACCCCAGCGUGGACAACACAUGUUGUUUUUUCAUGUUUUCUACAAAUAAUGCAUUGACAGACAAGCCAUGGGUAAUCUUCAGGUUAAUUGCAGCAACUUGUGACUUGGGAGAAGUCCUGUGAAAAGACACAGGGCACAUGACCAGAUUUGUGUUUUUCUGAAUGUUCUAUUCAAGUAGUAGUUAGUUGGAACCCUAACUCAAACACAGACAACACAUUGCUGCUGCCUUACGGCCACAGGCAGGAAAAUGAUUCUUUUCUUCAGAAAAUUGGAAAGCUGUUUGAGUAAUAAUCUGGUAUUCAUCCUCACUUGAUUCAUUUCGUGCCAGUUAGUGAAAGGCGUGAAGAAUUCAAGUUUAGCUGCUGCGUGCUGUCAGCAAGCAAGCAAUCCAAUUGAUGUCCACCAGGUGGCGCGAGUGUCUUCAAGGCCCCACUUCGGCCAUUUUGUUCCUUGACGUAGCUGAAGUGAGAUGCCGGUCGUGACGUUUCCCAAAAUGAAAAGGUGAUUGAUCUUACCACUUUGCCACCUGAAUUGAAAAUGCCUGUACAUUUGCCGAAAUGUCGUGCCUCGUGUGUCUCGCUGCCUGUACCCAGUCGUACGUCUUAUCCCAUGCAACAGCAAAAGUCUAACAACCACGCUGCAGCCAGAUGGUGAAAGGUGUGAUGAAGAAAAGUUCAACCGUUGUAUGCAGGAUGUGGUGCCAGUGUUAUCCAGAAGUAGCUGUGCUGGAGUUAUUCCGAAGCAGCUGAGCCAGAAUUUGUCCAAAUUGCUGACUUCAAAAUUUUAACUGCUUUCAUUUGUGUUUUUUUCUUUGCAAGUGGUAUCCGUGGUGCUGAUUUGAAAUAUUUUUAUCCCCUUUUAUUUGUGGUUUUGCUCUGCCGAUGAGUUUCUGACUUGAAUUGGUUUCAUCUGUCGUCUUUUGCGUUUUUACUUGGGCAGUAUACGAUUGUGGCAAACUGAUUCUAUGUCAGUUUUGAUACAGUCGACAACUGCUAGAUUAAAUUCCGGCUUUCCGCACCAACAAAAUAAUAACGGCACAUGUUAUUAUCGCGGUUGGGAAAGUCACAGGCC
rnacentral:lncRNA from 1 species